CCUACGGGAUGCAGCAGUGAGGAAUAUUGGUCAAUGGCCGGAAGCCUGAACCAGCCAAGUCGCGUGAGGGACGACUGCCCUAUGGGUUGUAAACCUCUUUUAUCCGGGAAGAAUAAAUGCUACGUGUACCAUGAUGCCUGUACCUUAUGAAUAAGCAUCGGCUAACUCCGUGCCAGCAGCCGCGGUAAUACGGAGGAUGCGAGCUUUAUCCGGCUUUAUUGGGUUUAAGGGGAGCGUAGGCGGUUUUUUAAGUGAGUGGUUAAACGUCGGGGCUUCACCUUGAUUUGACAGUAAUACUGUAAGAAUGGAGUCGAGACGAGGUAGGCGGAAUAGGUGAAG
rnacentral:rRNA from 1 species